rnacentral:rRNA from 3 species
GGACUACUGGGGUAUCUAAUCCCGUUCGCUCCCCUGGCUUUCGCGCCUCAGCGUUAGAAAAGGUCCAGUGUGUCGCUUUCGCCACCGGCGUUCCUUCCGAUAUCAACGCAUUUCACCGCUCCACCGGAAGUUCCACACACCCCUACCUCCCUCAAGACUGCCAGUAUCCAAGGCACUUUUCCGGUUGAGCCGAAAGAUUUCACCCCGGACUUGGCAGCCCGCCUACGCGCCCUUUAAGCCCAGUGAUUCCGAACAACGUUCGCACGGUUCGUCUUACCGCGGCGGCUGGCAC